rnacentral:rRNA from 1 species
UGAUGGAGCAACUGCCGCGUGAGUGAUGAAGGUUCUUCGGAUCUGUAAAACUCUGUUGUAAGGGAAGAACACGUACGAGAGGAAAUGCUCGUACCUUGACGGUACCUUACGAGAAAGCCACGGCUAACUACGUGCCAGCAGCCGCGGUAAUACAA